AACAAAAUGCGAAAAAAGCCUGAAAACUUGAAGUUUGAGAUUUGAGUUACUGAAGAUCAAUAUGUACACAUGAGACAACAAACCUUGAAGGUAAUGUGAAGUGACCCAAUAAUUGGUAGUAUAGACAGAAUGGUUGGCAGUGACAUUUACUGUGGCAAGCUGUUAUUCAAGAACUUGUCAUUAUUCCCAGAAGCUUACUACUGGUUUAAAUUUUUAGUCUUUUGUUCUCUGUACACAACUUGCCUUGACUAAUAUGCUAUAUGGGAGUUAUGUCUACUUUAUUUGUAAAAUUGGUAAAAUUACCAAUAAAAUUUCCAAUAAAGUUUUCAGAAGUUUUGUCCAGA